UACGUAGGGGGCAAGCGUUGUCCGGAUUUAUUGGGCGUAAAGAGCGUGUAGGCGGCCAUACAGGUCCGUUGUGAAAACUGGAGGCUUAACCUCCAGACGUCGAUGGAAACCGUAUGGCUAGAGUCCGGAAGAGGAGAGUGGAAUUCCUGGUGUAGCGGUGAAAUGCGCAGAUAUCAGGAGGAACACCGGUGGCGAAGGCGGCAUCCUGGACCGGUAUUGACGCUGAGGCGCGAAAGCCAGGGGAGCAAACGGG
rnacentral:rRNA from 1 species